UUGGUGCCUUCGGGAACUCUGAGACAGGUGCUGCAUGGCUGUCGUCAGCUCGUGUUGUGAAAUGUUGGGUUAAGUCCCGCAACGAGCGCAACCCUUAUCCUUUGUUGCCAGCGGUCCGGCCGGGAACUCAAAGGAGACUGCCAGUGAUAAACUGGAGGAAGGUGGGGAUGACGUCAAGUCAUCAUGGCCCUUACGAGUAGGGCUACACACGUGCUACAAUGGCGCAUACAAAGAGAAGCGACCU
rnacentral:rRNA from 1 species